UUGGGUACCGUCAAGACCGAAGGUAUUAACUUCGGUUUUUUCUUUCCCAAUAAAGGUGCUUUACAACCCGCAGGCCUUCUUCACACACGCGGCAUUGCUGCAUCAGGCUUGCGCCCAUUGUGCAAUAUUCCCC
rnacentral:rRNA from 1 species